AUGCUAGCCAUACCGCGCGGCACACGGAAAACGGCGGCGAUGACAGAUCUCUCCGUCUCGCAGGGCCAGGCCUCCCGUCUGCGCCGCGCCGGCGCCGGCAUGGAGGCCCGGGCUCGGACAGCCUCCACAAUGUUGGGUGCGCCGGCGAGGUGUCUUCUGCAGCGGCUGGCGGGCGUGUCAGUUCACUACUCAUCUCGUCCAUCUCCAAGCCUCCAAUAUGGUAAGUCCUCAAUUCCUCUUCCUCGGUUCCUCACAUUGUCAAUCUUUCGUGGUUUGAUUGAGUUUCAAAAAGGAAAAGUCUUGUUUUGA
rnacentral:rRNA from 1 species